UACGUAGGAGGCAAGCGUUGUCCGGAAUUACUGGGUGUAAAGCGCGUGUAGGCGGCAGGCCAAGUCUGUGGUGAAAUCGCACGGCUCAACUGGGCGGGGUCCAUGGAAACUGGUCAGCUGGAGGACGGUAGAGGUGAGUGGAAUUCCCGGUGUAGUGGUGAAAUGCGUAGAGAUGUGGAGGAACACCAGUGGCGAAGGCGACUCUCUGGUCUGUAACUGACGCUGAGGCGCGAAAGCGUGGGGAGCAAACAGG
rnacentral:rRNA from 1 species